CCCACCAGCCGCCUCGGAAACCUUCUCCUUCUCUCAAGCACUCUCGAACCUUCUCUAACCCUAGCCACCUCCGCCCUAAAAUCCACCGAAAUCUAUGGCCAUCAAAGUUAUAGGAGUCUUACACCUACCUACUGGUUCUCUUACGUGCCUGAUAAUUGAAGAUACGAGGCCUGACUAUGAAGGGUUGAACCUAGACCACCAUCAAUUUGAGGUCUCAAGGUCCUCUCUGGCUCUGUUAUGGCGUACCAUGGUCGUCUGAGCCUGUUUCAGACCUUCUCCAACUCAGAUCGGUGACCUUCAAAUCCUUUUUCAUUUCUAGGGUUUCCCCAAAAUCCUAAGUUAUUCGAGGUUUUUCUUGGUUUUUUUCUAGAUCUAUGAUAUAUUUGUGUUCUACUGGAUAUUUAUAUUAUUUUCCCCAAUCUUUCUUUCAAAAAUUGCUUCUCUUUGACUUAGGGUUUCUGAAAGGUUUUUAAAACAUCUUUUUGAUUCUUCCUUUUCUUUUCUUUAUGUGUGUUCGUCUAUAUUCUGCUCGUGUGUUUUCUUUUCUACCACGCAUGUGUUGUUCUUCUAUUUUCUUUUUACUAUACGUGGCUCUUCUGCAUCUUUGUACUCUACUAUGCCUCUACAUUAGGCUCUCAUGUUAAUCUUUGUUAUGUUUUCCUACGUGUUCGUUGUUAUACAUUCCAGUGUUCUUCUAUUGUACGUGUUUUCUACUGAGUUCUUAAAUUUUGUUUACUUUACUGGACUUUUUUUCGAGUUCUGAGCAUGCUUCCUUUACUGUUUCUUAUGUUUAUAUCACCCUUCUUCUCUCUUCUGAACUUGCGUAAGUUCUGAGUUUUUCCUAAUACAUGUUCUUUAUGCUUUUAAAUCAACCUUUCAAUCUGUCACUUCAAACCUGCAAUCAUAUUUGUAUGUUUCCUUAUGAGGCUCUGGAAAAGACCACUGAGUCUGUUUUGUUGGCUUGCCUUCUCAUCUCUAUAUCUGAUUCGAGUUAAAACCUAGGAUUUGAG
rnacentral:lncRNA from 1 species